UACGAAGGGGGCUAGCGUUGCUCGGAAUCACUGGGCGUAAAGCGCACGUAGGCGGCUUCUUAAGUCAGGGGUGAAAUCCUGGAGCUCAACUCCAGAACUGCCUUUGAUACUGGGAGGCUCGAGUCCGGGAGAGGUGAGUGGAACUGCGAGUGUAGAGGUGAAAUUCGUAGAUAUUCGCAAGAACACCAGUGGCGAAGGCGGCACACUGGCCCGGUACUGACGCUGAGGUGCGAAAGCGUGGGGAGCAAACGGG
rnacentral:rRNA from 1 species